AAAAAUUUAUUUUAUUAUUUUAUAAAAUCUAAUUUCAAAUGCAUUAAUGCCAAGAAUUUCAAAAGCACACAAAGUUUUAAUUACUAAGUCAGCCCAAAUCUUAGGUCAGUAUGCAACUUAAGUUGAAGUUAUUAAGUUUCCGUUAGGGAGUUGUAAGGCUCAUUUAUACUUGGGUGCUCGGUGAUAUCUGGACCAUACACAAGCUAAGGCUUUAGAUUCCCCAAAAUACUGCUAAA
rnacentral:lncRNA from 1 species